GUGCUCACUUCUGCAGCACAUAUACUAAAAUUGGAAUGCACAGAACAUGAGCAAGGCCCCUGCACAAGGAUGACAUGCAAAUUCGUAAAGUGUUCCAUAUUUUA
ensembl:snRNA U6 U6 spliceosomal RNA